UACGGGGGGGGCAAGCGUUGCUCGGAAUCACUGGGCGUAAAGCGCACGUAGGCGGCUUCUUAAGUCAGGGGUGAAAUCCUGGAGCUCAACUCCAGAACUGCCUUUGAUACUGGGGAGCUAGAGUCCGGGAGAGGUGAGUGGAACUGCGAGUGUAGAGGUGAAAUUCGUAGAUAUUCGCAAGAACACCAGUGGCGAAGGCGGCUCACUGGCCCGGUACUGACGCUGAGGUGCGAAAGCGUGGGGAGCAAACAGG
rnacentral:rRNA from 1 species